UUAAAUUGAAGAGUUUGAUCAUGGCUCAGAUUGAACGCUGGCGGCAGGCCUAACACAUGCAAGUCGGACGGUAGCACAGAGAGCUUGCUCUCGGGUGACGAGUGGCGGACGGGUGAGUAAUGUCUGGGGAUCUGCCCGAUAGAGGGGGAUAACCACUGGAAACGGUGGCUAAUACCGCAUAACGUCGCAAGACCAAAGAGGGGGACCUUCGGGCCUCUCACUAUCGGAUGAACCCAGAUGGGAUUAGCUAGUAGGCGGGGUAACGGCCCACCUAGGCGACGAUCCCUAGCUGGUCUGAGAGGAUGACCAGCCACACUGGAACUGAGACACGGUCCAGACUCCUACGGGAGGCAGCAGUGGGGAAUAUUGCACAAUGGGCGCAAGCCUGAUGCAGCCAUGCCGCGUGUAUGAAGAAGGCCUUCGGGUUGUAAAGUACUUUCAGCGGGGAGGAAGGCGAU
rnacentral:rRNA from 1 species